rnacentral:rRNA from 1 species
AUUACAAUGAAGAGUUUGAUCCUGGCUCAGGAUGAACGCUAGCUACAGGCUUAACACAUGCAAGUCGCGGGGCAGCAUAGGGUUUCAGCAAUGAAAUUCGGAUGGCGACCGGCGCACGGGUGAGUAACACGUAUCCAACCUGCCCUUUACUCGGGGAUAGCCUUGCGAAAGUAAGAUUAAUACCCGAUGGCAUUGGAUUUCCGCAUGGGGAUUCAAUUAAAGGUGAAAAUUGGUAAAGGAUGGGGAUGCGUUCCAUUAAGCAGUAGGCGGGGUAACGGCCCACCUAACCGACGAUGGAUAGGGGUUCUGAGAGGAAGGUCCCCCACAUUGGAACUGAGACACGGUCCAAACUCCUACGGGAGGCAGCAGUGAGGAAUAUUGGUCAAUGGGCGCGAGCCUGAACCAGCCAAGUAGCGUGAAGGAUGACUGCCCUAUGGGUUGUAAACUUCUUUUAUACGGGAAUAAAGUCACUUACGUGUAAGUGUUUGUCUGUACCUUAUGAAUAAUCAUCGUCUAACUCCGUGCCAGCAGCCGCGGUA